rnacentral:rRNA from 1 species
GGAAUAUUGGUCAAUGGGCGCAAGCCUGAACCAGCCAAGUAGCGUGCAGGAUGACUGCCCUAUGGGUUGUAAACUGCUUUUAUACGGGGAUAAAGUCAGGGUCGUGACCCUGUUUGCAGGUACCGUAUGAAUAAGGACCGGCUAAUUCCGUGCCAGCAGCCGCGGUAAUACGGAAGGUCCAGGCGUUAUCCGGAUUUAUUGGGUUUAAAGGGAGCGUAGGCCGGAGAUUAAGUGUGUUGUGAAAUGUAGAUGCUCAACAUCUGCACUGCAGCGCAUACUGGUUUCCUUGAGUACACACAACGUUGGCGGAAUUCGUCGUGUAGCGGUGAAAUGCUUAGAUAUGACGAAGAACUCCGAUUGCGAAGGCAGGCUUCCAGUCCUUAACUGACGCUAAAGCUCGAAAGUGCGGGUAUCGAACA